CGGCGAGUGAAGCGGCAACAGCUCAAAUUUGAAAUCUGGCCUCCUUUGGGGGUCCGAGUUGUAAUUUGCAGAGGGUGCUUUGGCGUCGGCAGCGGUCUAAGUUCCUUGGAACAGGACAUCACAGAGGGUGAGAAUCCCGUACGUGGUCGCCUGCCUUCGCCGUGUAAAGCCCCUUCGACGAGUCGAGUUGUUUGGGAAUGCAGCUCUAAAUGGGAGGUAAAUUUCUUCUAAAGCUAAAUACCGGCCAGAGACCGAUAGCGCACAAGUAGAGUGAUCGAAAGAUGAAAAGCACUUUGGAAAGAGAGUCAAACAGCACGUGAAAUUGUUGAAAGGGAAGCGCUUGCAGCCAGACUUGCUCGCAGUUGCUCAUCCGGGUCCGCCCGGAGCACUCUUCUGCGAGCAGGCCAGCAUCAGUUUGGGCGACCGGAUAAAGGCCUCUGUCAUGUAUCUUCCUUCGGGAUGACCUUAUAGGGGAGGCGUAAUGCGGCCAGCCCGGACUGAGGUCCGCGCAUCUGCUAGGAUGCUGGCGUAAUGGCUGUAAGCGGCCCGUCUUGAAACACGGAUCAAGGAGUCUAACAUCUAUGCGAGUGUUUGGGUGUCAAGCCCGGGCGCGUAAUGAAAGUGAACGGAGGUGGGAACCCUCUUCGGGGGGUGCACCAUCGACCGAUCCUGAUGUCUUCGGAUGGAUUUGAGUAAGAGCAUAGCUGUUGGGACCCGAAAGAUGGUGAACUAUGCUUGAAUAGGGUGAAGCCAGAGGAAACUCUGGUGGAGGCUCGCAGCGGUUCUGACGUGCAAAUCGAUCGUCAAAUUUGGGCAUAGGGGCGAAAGACUAAUCGAACUAUCUAGUAGCUGGUUCCUGCCGAAGUUUCCCUCAGGAUAGCAGUAACGUAUUCAGUUUUAUGAGGUAAAGCGAAUGAUUAGAGGCCUGGGGGUUGAAACAACCUUCACCUAUUCUCAAACUUUAAAUAUGUAAGAAGUCCUUGUUACUUGAUGAACGGGACAUUUGAAUG
rnacentral:rRNA from 1 species